GACGGGGGAUGCAAGUGUUAUCCGGAAUCACUGGGCGUAAAGCGUCUGCAGGUGGUUUCCUAAGUCCACUGUUAAACCUUGAGGCUCAACCUCAAAUCUGCAUUGGAAGCUAGGAGACUUGAGUAUAGUAGGGGUAGAGGGAAUUUCCAGUGGAGCGGUGAAAUGCGUAGAUAUCUGGAGGAACACCGGUGGCGAAGGCGGCAUCCUGGACCGGCAUUGACGCUGAGGAGCGAAAGCCAGGGGAGCAAACGGG
rnacentral:rRNA from 1 species